GGAAGCCCAGGUGAUGGCAGCCAUAGCCCUGAAAACCUGGCACCAGGAUACCCAGUUUGCAAACUCCCUGAUCUCACUUCUGGAGGGAGGAGAUUUGCCUUGGGGCCUGGAGGCACAGGAUGCUCCCCCUGCAGAGAGGACCAGAGACAUCUGUAUAGGAUUCCCAAUGUCGCAUUGAAUAGUAGCGGUAAAAGGAGACAUACCUGGGCCAACCCCGUGGCUCACUCGGGAGAGUGUGGCACUGGGAGCGCAGCAGCACUGGAGCGUCGAGGCCGCGGGUUCGGUCCUAUAUAGGGAUGGCCGGUGCGCUCACUGGCUGAGCGCGGUGCGGGCGACACCAAGGGAAAGACAUUCUUUCACUGUUAAGUAUGUUUUCAGCUUCAAGGAGAGAAUAACAUUAAAUCCUAUGUCAUUAUAGCUACUGCAGUACAAUAUUUAGUUUAACCAUACAUAUUUUUUGGCAGCCAAGGCAAAAAUGACUUUGUGUACAAAACUUAAGUUCCACUAUAACUUCAACCCAGUUUUGGCUGUUUUUUGACAAAACCCAGUUUCGUCCAGAAAUCCGUGAAAGCAGUUGUAUUUUCCCACUAUUUUCAAGUCAGGAAUAACAGUAAACACUCCAUGGUCUAUCUAUAUCCUGGGUCCCAUGAUCUUAUAUUACUCAUGGUCUAGGUUAAAGAUAGGUAGUGCAGGGAGUUAGAGGGAGAGCUGGAUAUUUAGGCUGUGAGGUAACCAGAAGGAGAGGAGGUAACAAGAAGGAGAGGUGGUUCCCACUGGAAUUAAGCAGUGGCCAAGGCUAUAAAAUAGUAUGUUUGAUAAUAGAGAUUAUUACAGACAUGAGUAUGAGUAUACAUUUCUUUUUUGUUUUGUUUUAUUUUUAUUGAUUAUGAAUAUUCAUGGGGUACAAAGCAAAUUGUCACCACUUGUGCCCAAUAUGUGAUGGCCAGAACCAUACUGGCAGCAUGUCCAUUACUACAAAUUGUGAUUAUACCCCAUGUCCCCCACCCAAUUAUCCCCUCAAUUGUCCCCAACCUCCCUCCCAUCCCCCUUUCCCCACUCCACUUUGUAUCCCUAGGUCUGUUCUCUCCCUCUGCAAGUCCAACACACCACUGUGGUCUUUCUUUCCUUUCUAGUAUACAUUUCUUUAGAGGUGGUACAAUGGUGGGAAAACAGGCCAGCACUGAUUAGUUAUUAUUAUUAAUGAACUUGAAAACUCACUGGGAGACAUUCUACACUGGGAGUGGAAAUUAUCUCACUAACUAUUUAAGAAAAAAGAGGAUUUCAGGAUGCCUACCCUUCUCCCCAUUCAAAUUUUCCUAAGGAUAUUGGAUUAGAGUCUUGGUCAGGGAAACCCAGAUUGCAAAAUCCUAAGAGAAAUUUAUUUCUAAAUAUCAAGAGAACAGAGUAAUAAUGGACUCUAAUUCAUAAAAAUGUGACUACACAAGAAAUAAGCAAAUGCUAUUUAAUUUCUAAUUCUUCUCAUGAGUCACCUGCUACAAUAAUUGUUCACCUGCCAUUUACCUCCUGCAGUAAUUUAGAAGAAAUUACUAAGCUGAAGAAAUAAGACUUGCAUAAAAUCAAUAAAGUAUCAUGGAACAGGGCACCUAACUAUGAGCAUUGUUAGCUAGACUUGAAGAAUGGUGCAAUAUGUAGUUUUUCUAAAGCUCCUAAAAUUACAAUUCAAAUCACACUGCUUCUCUGCCUGGAGUGUGCAUUCACUAGGAAUAAUUGAACAUUUCUCCUUACUGGGGUAUUUUCUGUUUUUGUUGGGUUUGCACAUAUUAAAAGUACAGUGUCCCCCUUUCUCUCCACUCCCUGCAAAAAAGAAAAAGAAAAAAAAAUCAAGCUAUACCCAAUUCUUGACACUAACUAAACACACAGGUUCCCAUGAUUCUAAAGACUGUAAUAAAA